rnacentral:rRNA from 1 species
ACGGAGGGUGCGAGCGUUGUCCGGAAUCACUGGGCGUAAAGGGCGCGUAGGCGGCGCGAGCAGUCGGCGGUGAAAGCCCGGAGCUCAACUCCGGGUCGGCCGUCGAUACUCUCGUGCUUGAGCACUGUAGAGGCAGAUGGAAUUCCGGGUGUAGCGGUGGAAUGCGUAGAGAUCCGGAAGAACACCGGUGGCGAAGGCGGUCUGCUGGGCAGUAGCUGACGCUGAUGCGCGACAGCGUGGGGAGCAAACAGGA